rnacentral:tRNA from 1 species
UGGGGCGUCGUCCAAGGGCAGGACAACGGUUUUUGGUGCCGUCGAUCUAGGUUCGAAUCCUAGCGCCCCAA